rnacentral:rRNA from 1 species
UAAUACGUAGGGUGCGAGCGUUGUCCGAAAUUAUUGGGCGUAAAGAGCUCGUAGGCGGCUUGUCGCGUCGGAUGUGAAAGCCCGGGGCUUAACCCUGGGUCUGCAUUCGAUACGGGCAGGCUAGAGUUCGGUAGGGGAGAUCGGAAUUCCUGGUGUAGCGGUGAAAUGCGCAGAUAUCAGGAGGAACACCGGUGGCGAAGGCGGAUCUCUGGGCCGAUACUGACGCUGAGGAGCGAAAGCAUGGGGAGCGAACAGG